rnacentral:rRNA from 1 species
UACGAAGGGGGCUAGCGUUGCUCGGAAUCACUGGGCGUAAAGCGCACGUAGGCGGCUUCUAAGUCAGGGGUGAAAUCCUGGAGCUCAACUCCAGAACUGCCUUUGAUACUGGAGAGCUUGAGUCCGGAAGAGGUGAGUGGAACUCCGAGUGUAGAGGUGAAAUUCGUAGAUAUUCGGAAGAACACCAGUGGCGAAGGCGGCUUACUGGUCCGGUUCUGACGCUGAGGCGCGAAAGCGUGGGGAGCAACAGGG